CCACUCCGCCACCACCUCCGACAUCAUCAUCAACAUCACAAACAAAACCCCCACAUCAAAACCCCCAAAACGAAAACCCUAAAAUCGAAAACCCUAAAUCGAUCGGAAACGAACACCCCAAAUCGAUCAAAGUUCAGCGAGUCCGGUCGACCUCAUGUUCAGCGACUCCGGCCAGAGAGUAGAGAGAGAGUGGAGGUGCAGAUUGUCUGUGUGGUGUGUGUUAAAACCUAGAAGAAGAAGAGGUUUUAUAUAA
rnacentral:lncRNA from 1 species